UACAGAGGUCUCAAGCGUUGUUCGGAAUUACUGGGCGUAAAGGGUGCGCAGGCCGCGCGGGCAGUCAAAUGUGUAAUCCAGGGGCUCAACCCCUGAACUGCGCUUGAUACUUCCGCGCUCGAGCUUUGGAGAGGAGUCUGGAAUUCUCGGUGUAGCAGUGAAAUGCGUGGAUAUCGAGAAGAACACUCAGGGCGUAGGCAAGACUCUGGACAAAUGCUGACGCUCAUGCACGAAGGCUAGGGUAGCGAACGGG
rnacentral:rRNA from 1 species